AAUCUAUCAACUGCUUCAUUGCGGUUGGAUAUGGGUCCUUUGAGACUUCACAGUCUCAAUGACCUGAAAUGAAAUGUUACGCAUCCUUGGACUAACAGUUCUUGGGCAUACGCAUGAAUGAGGCAACUCACAAGUACGUCUGUUCUCAUGGAAUUGUCGGUUUGAUUGGACUGGGUGACUCAAUUAUUAUCCAGAGUUGGACGACGUCAGUCAGCCUUCUUUGAAC
rnacentral:misc_RNA from 1 species